GCAGGGGUUGCCAAGCCUGGCCAACGGCACCGGACUUAAGCUCCGGGGGCAAUGCCUUCGUGGGUUCGAAUCCCACCCCCUGCACCA
rnacentral:tRNA from 1 species